GGGGUAACGGCCCACCAAGGCUACGAUCAGUAGGGGUUCUGAGAGGAAGGUCCCCCACAUUGGAACUGAGACACGGUCCAAACUCCUACGGGAGGCAGCAGUGAGGAAUAUUGGUCAAUGGGCGAGAGCCUGAACCAGCCAAGUAGCGUGCAGGAAGACGGCCCUAUGGGUUGUAAACUGCUUUUAUGUGGGGAUAAAGUGCGUGACGUGUCAUGCAUUGCAGGUACCACAUGAAUAAGGACCGGCUAAUUCCGUGCCAGCAGCCGCGGUAAUACGGAAGGUCCGGGCGUUAUCCGGAUUUAUUGGGUUUAAAGGGAGCGUAGGCUGUCUAUUAAGCGUGUUGUGAAAUUUACCGGCUCAACCGGUGGCUUGCAGCGCGAACUGGUCGACUUGAGUAUGCAGGAAGUAGGCGGAAUUCAUGGUGUAGCGGUGAAAUGCUUAGAUAUCAUGACGAACUCCGAUUGCGCAGGCAGCUUACUGUAGCAUAACUGACGCUGAUGCUCGAAAGUGCGGGUAUCAAACAGGAUUAGAUACCCUGGUAGUCCGCACGGUAAACGAUGGAUGCUCGCUAUUCGUCCUAUUUGGAUGAGUGGCCAAGUGAAAACAUUAAGCAUCCCACCUGGGGAGUACGCCGGCAACGGUGAAACUCAAAGGAAUUGACGGGGG
rnacentral:rRNA from 1 species